rnacentral:rRNA from 1 species
UGGGGGAAUAUUGCACAAUGGGCGCAAGCCUGAUGCAGCCAUGCCGCGUGUGUGAAGAAGCCUUCGGUUGUAAGCACUUUCAGCGAGGAGGAAGGUGGGUGAACUUAAUACGUUCAUCAAUUGACGUUACUCGCAGAAGAAGCACCGGCUAACUCCGUGCCAGCAGCCGCGGUAAUACGGAGGGUAGCAAGCGUAAUCGGAAUUACUGGGCGUAAAGCGCACGCAAGGCGGUUUGUUAAGUCAGAUGUGAAAUCCCCGGGCUCAACCUGGGAACUGCAUUUGAAACUGGCAAGCUAGAGUCUCGUAGAGGGGGGUAGAAUUCCAGGUGUAGCGGUGAAAUGCGUAGAGAUCUGGAGGAAUACCGGUGGCGAAGGCGGCCCCCUGGACGAAGACUGACGCUC